GGUUAAGCGACUAAGCGUACACGGUGGAUGCCCUGGCAGUCAGAGGCGAUGAAGGACGUGCUAAUCUGCGAUAAGCGUCGGUAAGGUGAUAUGAACCGUUAUAACCGGCGAUUUCCGAAUGGGGAAACCCAGUGUGAUUCGUCACACUAUCAUUAACUGAAUCCAUAGGUUAAUGAGGCGAACCGGGGGAACUGAAACAUCUAAGUACCCCGAGGAAAAGAAAUCAACCGAGAUUCCCCCAGUAGCGGCGAGCGAACGGGGAGCAGCCCAGAGCCUGAAUCAGUGUGUGUGUUAGUGGAAGCGUCUGGAAAGGCGCGCGAUACAGGGUGACAGCCCCGUACACAAAAAUGCACAUGCUGUGAGCUCGAUGAGUAGGGCGGGACACGUGGUAUCCUGUCUGAAUAUGGGGGGACCAUCCUCCAAGGCUAAAUACUCCUGACUGACCGAUAGUGAACCAGUACCGUGAGGGAAAGGCGAAAAGAACCCCGGCGAGGGGAGUGAAAAAGAACCUGAAACCGUGUACGUACAAGCAGUGGGAGCACGCUUAGGCGUGUGACUGCGUACCUUUUGUAUAAUGGGUCAGCGACUUAUAUUCUGUAGCAAGGUUAACCGAAUAGGGGAGCCGAAGGGAAACCGAGUCUUAACUGGGCGUUAAGUUGCAGGGUAUAGACCCGAAACCCGGUGAUCUAGCCAUGGGCAGGUUGAAGGUUGGGUAACACUAACUGGAGGACCGAACCGACUAAUGUUGAAAAAUUAGCGGAUGACUUGUGGCUGGGGGUGAAAGGCCAAUCAAACCGGGAGAUAGCUGGUUCUCCCCGAAAGCUAUUUAGGUAGCGCCUCGUGAAUUCAUCUCCGGGGGUAGAGCACUGUUUCGGCAAGGGGGUCAUCCCGACUUACCAACCCGAUGCAAACUGCGAAUACCGGAGAAUGUUAUCACGGGAGACACACGGCGGGUGCUAACGUCCGUCGUGAAGAGGGAAACAACCCAGACCGCCAGCUAAGGUCCCAAAGUCAUGGUUAAGUGGGAAACGAUGUGGGAAGGCCCAGACAGCCAGGAUGUUGGCUUAGAAGCAGCCAUCAUUUAAAGAAAGCGUAAUAGCUCACUGGUCGAGUCGGCCUGCGCGGAAGAUGUAACGGGGCUAAACCAUGCACCGAAGCUGCGGCAGCGACACUGUGUGUUGUUGGGUAGGGGAGCGUUCUGUAAGCCUGUGAAGGUGUACUGUGAGGUAUGCUGGAGGUAUCAGAAGUGCGAAUGCUGACAUAAGUAACGAUAAAGCGGGUGAAAAGCCCGCUCGCCGGAAGACCAAGGGUUCCUGUCCAACGUUAAUCGGGGCAGGGUGAGUCGACCCCUAAGGCGAGGCCGAAAGGCGUAGUCGAUGGGAAACAGGUUAAUAUUCCUGUACUUGGUGUUACUGCGAAGGGGGGACGGAGAAGGCUAUGUUGGCCGGGCGACGGUUGUCCCGGUUUAAGCGUGUAGGCUGGUUUUCCAGGCAAAUCCGGAAAAUCAAGGCUGAGGCGUGAUGACGAGGCACUACGGUGCUGAAGCAACAAAUGCCCUGCUUCCAGGAAAAGCCUCUAAGCAUCAGGUAACAUCAAAUCGUACCCCAAACCGACACAGGUGGUCAGGUAGAGAAUACCAAGGCGCUUGAGAGAACUCGGGUGAAGGAACUAGGCAAAAUGGUGCCGUAACUUCGGGAGAAGGCACGCUGAUAUGUAGGUGAAGCGACUUGCUCGUGGAGCUGAAAUCAGUCGAAGAUACCAGCUGGCUGCAACUGUUUAUUAAAAACACAGCACUGUGCAAACACGAAAGUGGACGUAUACGGUGUGACGCCUGCCCGGUGCCGGAAGGUUAAUUGAUGGGGUUAGCGGUAACGCGAAGCUCUUGAUCGAAGCCCCGGUAAACGGCGGCCGUAACUAUAACGGUCCUAAGGUAGCGAAAUUCCUUGUCGGGUAAGUUCCGACCUGCACGAAUGGCGUAAUGAUGGCCAGGCUGUCUCCACCCGAGACUCAGUGAAAUUGAACUCGCUGUGAAGAUGCAGUGUACCCGCGGCAAGACGGAAAGACCCCGUGAACCUUUACUAUAGCUUGACACUGAACAUUGAGCCUUGAUGUGUAGGAUAGGUGGGAGGCUUAGAAGUGUGGACGCCAGUCUGCAUGGAGCCGACCUUGAAAUACCACCCUUUAAUGUUUGAUGUUCUAACGUUGACCCGUAAUCCGGGUUGCGGACAGUGUCUGGUGGGUAGUUUGACUGGGGCGGUCUCCUCCUAAAGAGUAACGGAGGAGCACGAAGGUUGGCUAAUCCUGGUCGGACAUCAGGAGGUUAGUGCAAUGGCAUAAGCCAGCUUGACUGCGAGCGUGACGGCGCGAGCAGGUGCGAAAGCAGGUCAUAGUGAUCCGGUGGUUCUGAAUGGAAGGGCCAUCGCUCAACGGAUAAAAGGUACUCCGGGGAUAACAGGCUGAUACCGCCCAAGAGUUCAUAUCGACGGCGGUGUUUGGCACCUCGAUGUCGGCUCAUCACAUCCUGGGGCUGAAGUAGGUCCCAAGGGUAUGGCUGUUCGCCAUUUAAAGUGGUACGCGAGCUGGGUUUAGAACGUCGUGAGACAGUUCGGUCCCUAUCUGCCGUGGGCGCUGGAGAACUGAGGGGGGCUGCUCCUAGUACGAGAGGACCGGAGUGGACGCAUCACUGGUGUUCGGGUUGUCAUGCCAAUGGCACUGCCCGGUAGCUAAAUGCGGAAGAGAUAAGUGCUGAAAGCAUCUAAGCACGAAACUUGCCCCGAGAUGAGUUCUCCCUGACUCCUUGAGAGUCCUGAAGGAACGUUGAAGACGACGACGUUGAUAGGCCGGGUGUGUAAGCGCAGCGAUGCGUUGAGCUAACCGGUACUAAUGAACCGUGAGGCUUAACCUU
rnacentral:rRNA from 1 species